rnacentral:rRNA from 1 species
UGGGGAAUAUUGCACAAUGGGCGAAAGCCUGAUGCAGCGACGCCGCGUGAGGGAUGACGGCCUUCGGGUUGUAAACCUCUUUCAGCAGGGAAGAAGCGAAAGUGACGGUACCUGCAGAAGAAGCGCCGGCUAACUACGUGCCAGCAGCCGCGGUAAUACGUAGGGCGCAAGCGUUGUCCGGAAUUAUUGGGCGUAAAGAGCUCGUAGGCGGUUAGUCGCGUCUGCUGUGAAAACUCGAGGCUCAACCUCGGGCUUGCAGUGGGUACGGGCUGACUAGAGUGCGGUAGGGGUGACUGGAAUUCCUGGUGUAGCGGUGGAAUGCGCAGAUAUCAGGAGGAACACCGAUGGCGAAGGCAGGUCACUGGGCCGCAACUGACGCUGAGGAGCGAAAGCAUGGGGAGCGAACAGGAUUAGAUAGCCCUGGUAGUCCAUGCCGUAAACGUUGGGCACUAGGUGUGGGUCCAUUCCACGGAUUCCGUGCCGCAGCAAAGCGCAUUAAGUGCCCCGCCUGGGGAGUACGGCCGCAAGGCUAAAACUUAAAGGAAUUGACGGGGUCAUAGCUGUUUCCU